rnacentral:rRNA from 1 species
AUACGGAGGAUGCGAGCGUUAUCCGGAUUUAUUGGGUUUAAAGGGUGCGUAGGCUGUGCGUUAAGUCAGGGGUGAAAUGCCGUCGCUCAACGACGGAGCUGCCCUUGAUACUGGCGUGCUGGAGUACGGAUGCCGUUGGAGGAAUGAGUGGUGUAGCGGUGAAAUGCUUAGAUAUCACUAAGAACACCGAUUGCGAAGGCAUCUGACGAAUCCGUCACUGACGCUGAGGCACGAAAGCGUGGGGAUAGAACAGGAUUAGAUACCCUGGUAUUCCACGCCGUAAACGAUGAUGACUAACCGUCGGCGAUAGACAGCCGGUGGCCAAGCGAAAGCGAUAAGUCAUCCACCUGGGGAGUACGUCGGCAACGAUGAAACUCAAAUGAAUUGACGGGG